rnacentral:rRNA from 1 species
GAGCCGGCACCGUCUGGGCGAAAGGGAAUCCGGUUCCUAUUCCGGAACCCGGCCGCGGAACCGCUCCAAUUCGGGCCCUCAUCCGAGGACUCGUCGGGGUGACCCGAAAUGACCCGGAGAAGCCGUAGGGAGGUCCGGGGAGAGUUGUCUCUUCUCUAUAAGCGUUCGAGUUCCCUGGAAGCCUCUAGGAGGGAGAUAGGGUUUGGAACGCGAAGAGCACCGCACUUACGGCGGUGUCCGGAUCUUCCCCUCGGACCUUGAAAAUCCGGGCGAGGGCCACGAGGAACACCGCGCCGGCUCGUACCCAUAUCCGCAGCAGGUCUCCAAGGUGAAUAGCCUCUAGUCGAUAGAAUAAUGUAGGUAAGGGAAGUCGGCAAACCCGAUCUGUAACUUCGGGAUAAGGAUUGGCUCUGAGGAUCGUGGCGCGCCGGGCUUGGUCGGGAAGUGGAGCGGUGCCAACCUGCCGGGCCUGGGCGAGG